rnacentral:misc_RNA from 1 species
UCUCUGCUGUUGUCCAAUAA